rnacentral:rRNA from 1 species
UACGUAGGGUGCAAGCGUUGUCCGGAAUUAUUGGGCGUAAAGAGCUCGUAGGCGGUUUGUCGCGUCUGCCGUGAAAGUCCGGGGCUCAACUCCGGAUCUGCGGUGGGUACGGGCAGACUAGAGUGAUGUAGGGGAGACUGGAAUUCCUGGUGUAGCGGUGAAAUGCGCAGAUACCAGGAGGAACACCCGUGCGAAGGCGGCUCUCUGGGACGGUACUGACGCUGAGACGCGAAAGCGUGGGGAGCGAACAGG